AUUCCCUCACCGAUAGGAAAGAGAUGGGCUUAGAUGGGGUGCAUUCAAGGUGCUGUCAAAGAGCGGUGUGAGAAGAGCUGAGGGAGGGCAGCACACGGGUUGGGAGCUUUCCUGGGAAUCUGUCCUGGAAGGGCAGUUCUUGUCCGCAUGGUCACAGGCUCAGGAACCCCGAAGUGCUCGGGUGGAAAAGCAAGUCGGCCAGUAGGCACAGGAAAAGCCUUCAGGCCUCUACAUCCACCGCUUUUUCUCACAGCCAAGGGAUUCGAACCCAGGAACAGGCAUGCAGAUGAAGCUUCCUCUGGGUUUUUGUUGCUCUGGGUUUCAGAGAGCAUAGUUGUGUGUCCUGGUGGGAAGCCUCACUAUCUGCUUUUAUUGACAGCACAGAGCACCGUUGGCCGUCGUGCCCUUUAGAAGUGAACUGAAAUGUUUAUUAGCAAAGACCUUAGCCAAGUGUGGUGACUCCAACCUGUAAUCCCAGAAUUUUAGAGGUCGAAGCAGGAGGAUCAGGGAUUUGAAGUCAUGCUCAGUUACAUCGUGAAUUCUAGGCUGGCCCGGAAUUUGUAAGUUCCUGUUGGGGAGUGAGGGUGGUGGUGAAAAUAAAAACAAAUCCAUCUUCCCCAAGUCCCUAAGAGUUAGGAAACUGUUAAGUUGUUUUUAGUCCCGCCUAGGAGUCACUGCCACCGUGAAGAAGAGCGGCCUCUGCACCUCAGAGUCCAGUGACUGGGCUUUUGUUUCACUGUCUUUGUUCGUGCUCAAGAAAUAACACGUCAAUUCCUUUCACAGCUUUUGUUCUGUUUUGUUUGUAGUUUAGAUAGUUUUCACCAGUGGCCCUGACUGGUCUUGGAACUCACUAUGUAGACCAGGCUGUGCUCAAGCUCACAGAUAGCUGCCAGCCUCUGCCUCCCGAGUGCUGGGAUUAAAGAUGUGCACUGCUGUGCCUGGCUACUCACGAUGUUUUAAGAGGGUUUAGACAGGGGUUAUCUUCAGCAACGAAAAAAUUCUUUAUUCCUUAUUCUUAAUCUUUUUCAUCACUGUGUGUAUAUGAGACCCUGUGUGCUGGAACUUACCCGGAAUCCCAGCACCAAAAGGUCAGGGUCAUCUUUAGUUCAAGGCCAACCUAGGAGAGUUAAGACCCUCUCACAUAUAGGGCUACGAGUUUAGUUUUAAGAAUCCAAAGGGAUUCCCAGUUCUCCCAAGGGUGACCCCAAAAUGGCAGUCAUGGUCAUAUAGUCUGCUUAAGCUGGACUGUAGAAGGAGUGCUGUCAGAGAUGAAGGCUCCCGCGUGCAGCAUUCCUGCCUAGCAGAAAGGGCCGCUUCCUUUGGCUGUGCCUGUGGUUACAUAGCAAGCCCCAAACUAACCUCCAGGCUCCUCCAUCCCUAGUAACUUGUAUGUGUUAUGACUAUCCAAGCCCCUGCUAAUCUCACUAUUCCCCCUCCCCUGCACUAUGCUUCCAAACUGGAGAACACGCUCUUGGGAAUGGCAAACGAAGCCCCUCUCGAUAUUCAUUCUUUCCAACUUCUCUUUAUUGUCAUGUCUCCACUGACCCCUGCCCCCCAAACAUAUUUGAGAAGGAUCCACAGCCAGUCUGCUUUCCCUCUCUGCUCUGGACUCUUCCAGAUGCAUCUGGCUGUUCUCUCUCUCCUAUCCACACUGUAAAAACUUCCCCCAGCCAUCCAGCCACGGAGCAGCCAUCUUGGUUUCUUUACUGUGCCCUCACUUAUGCUUGCCUCGCCUGUCAGGCCCUUAGUUUGAUCCCAGCACCACAACUUUUUUAAGAUCACAAAAGGCACUUUGUCACCACGUGUUCUUUUGUAAUUGAGCGAAUCUAUCUAUAUUUAUGCCAAAAUGAUGUUGUCUUCUUAAAGCAAAGCAGAAAUUUGUGAUUGUUCUUUAGAAAAUUGCAGAGCUGACUGUCAGCUAACACUGAAGUAAACUCAGCUGAAGUAUCUCAUAGGCCUCUUACCUUUAGCUUGUCCUCGGCUCACGUCUUCAUGCAUUGUCACCACGGUUUAUUGGUGGGUCUGUUCUAGAAAAUGUAGGAAUCAGUUGAAAUCAUUUUUUUGUAGAACUGGACUGCAUGAAAAAAAGGUGCUUUAUAAUCCCACUGAUCAUUCCAGAGAUGCUUAUCGUUUUAUCCGUCUUCAGUGGACGGGACCUAACAUCUCUGUAUCCGACCUUGUUUAAAGCGGCUGUUUUCUUCUUUCACUAUAGCCCAGCUUCUCUCAGUGAGGCAUGCUGUCUGCUCAUGUUGAACUCUCUUGUACCCAUAGGUUCCUGCUACACUUAGCGGACAAAACUGGGGGUAUAAUUGUAACAAAUGAUAACUUCAGAGAGUUCGUGACUGAGUUGGUGUCCUAGAGAGAAAUUAUUACAAAAAGGCUGCUUCAGUACACGUUCGUGGGGGACAUAUUCAUGGUUCCCGAUGACCCCCUGGGAAGAAACGGACCUCGGCUAGAAGAAUUUCUUCGCAAGGAGGGCUUUCUUAGAGACAUGCAGCCGCUACUCAAUGCCCUGCCAAAUGUGGGCACGUUUGAUCCUGGCUUCCGGAGCCCCAACACCCAAGUAGCCAACACCAGCCACCAGCCUCCAUCCCGGAACCAGGGGGUCUCUUCAGGCCCUUGGCUUCCUCAGCAGCCCCACUUCACACCCCUGGCCACCGUUCCCAGUAUACAGCAGAACCUUCUCGUACCAGCACAGAGAUCUUCCGCAGAGACCAGCGAGCUGAGGGCGGCCCUGCUGAAGAUCUUCCCCGACUCUGAGCAAAAACUGAAGAUCGACCAGAUCCUGGUAGAUCAUCCAUACAUGAAAGACCUGAAUGCCCUUUCUGCCCUGGUAUUGGACUGAAGGCUGGGCUGAGAGCCCACUGCUGAUGGGGACCAGAGGGAGCUGCCAACUGUGGAGUUCCGUAGUGGGGAGAAGCUUUCCAGAGUGCACAGUGCUGCUCUCAGUAGGAAAAGGAAGGGAUGUGUUUUAUGUAUACAAAAAUCUGGAUUUUCAAAGCCAGCUUUUUUCUAUAUAUAAAUUAUGCUGCUAUCACAGAUUGAACAUUUUCUGUAAAAGGAAAGUACAUUUUCUGCCUGUUCAGAACUGUUUAAUAGGAGUUACUCUUGAGUGUAUUUACAACUUUAUGUUUUUUAAACUAUUUUCCUUAAAGCUGAAGAAAAAUUGACAAAUGAAUAUGGUUAGCCUUUCUGAAUAAAAUUAAAAAAUAAAAAAAAAAGGAAUUGCUUCCUUAAGGAAGGCAAGCCCUCUUAAAGUAUAUUUUCUUGAGGUGAUCUCUUCUGUCCACUCACGUGGUGUGUGCUCCCCUGCCUUCCUCCUUGCAGCUGGCCUGCUCCACUCUUCUGGGUCUUCUCAGCAGGCCACCCGUGAGAGUGGAGAAGUGGAGCCACUAGAUGGCACUUGGUGCCUGGCUGUAGUCAGUGACAAGACAAAGUCAGACUCAGAAGAGCAGGGUGACAAGUCUCAGUUCAUUCAGCCCCAUCCUUCUUCCUCUCCGCUGGACAGAGAAGGGAACUGAUUCCCAGCGUACUCCCUGAUUGGCGCAGCUCCCUAAUGCCCUCCCCAGCUGAGGCUGUCAUGUUCCUGAUCUGAUUCCACAGCUGCUGUCACCUCAGAAGGUGAGUGAGGUAGGGUUGGAGAGUCUGCUGAGGAACUCCCUUCUGUGGCCAGCAUGAGUCCACAGCCCACAUGUAUGGGGAAGAACCCCAUGUGGAGUUUGUACAGCUUUGCCAAAAAGUUUUCUAUUCUCAAGGAUGACCCAAGCCAAUAAAUAGCAUUAGCAGUUUCAGAAGGGGUCUCAAAGCCCUGCUGUUUGCCUCUUCUGUCUUUUAGAGGUCUCUUAGCCGCUCUUCCUGAGUCUUUCAGAACUAGUUAUCUCAGUAUUGUCUCUUCUCAAUGUAGCUCGAAUUCUGUGUCUGUGAAACAUUUCCUGGUCAUUCUUAGCAUCUUGACUCUCACCUACACCUUUUAAGGGCUCUGUGUUUUCCAUCCGUGCUGUAUCCCAGCCCUCACGGUCAAUUCCACUGCUCUGUGGAUUGUGUCUUUCUCCUGGUCCCACAGUUAGUAACUGAGGAUGUGGUGCUGGUUGGUUCUCUGUGGUGCAGGGACUAUGUAGAUCCCAGGAUGCUGUCACCAUGCAUAUAUCUUGGUUUCAUUUGAUCCUUGCAUCCCUGAGGAGAUGAUACAGCUUUCUAGGUGGCCACGGUUGUACUUCAGUCAUAUUCUCCUGAAUUCAUUGAUGAUGUAACCUGCUGGGGAAUCAUUUGUCAUCUGUCACUUGGGCUUUUGAGACCUGCAGGCAGUAACAGUAGAAAACAGACUUUGCAAGGUCCAGGAGUAGCCUCACUACAGCCUUGUGCCCCAGCUUCUGAGCACAGUAAAGGUGCUAAGGUGGAGCCAUCCCCAGGACCUCCCGGUCUGCUCAGUCCCAGUCCAGCAUUCCCGGGAACCAGGAGAGUCAGGGUGCUCUGUGGAGCACAGUCGCCACAUCCUGAUGCUUGCAGGGAGGAAGGAGCAUGAGCUUUCCCGGACUGUACAGGCAGAUUGACUUUGUUGUGUGGCCUCUCUGUUCUUAGUAUUGUUUCUGAGAUAUCUGCCUGUGUCCCCUUCCCCAUAUAGGAGGGAAGAAAAGUUG